CUGUUCAGAUUCCGUGGGAGAAGGAGCUGUGGAGCACUGUGACAACAAAGCCUGUUCUGAAAUACUAUUUCUAUUUGAAUGCAGGAGCAUUAAAAGUAUCAUCGGAUCAGCUGUUGUCCGGCUAUUAUUUCUCAAAAAGACACAACGCAGAUUCAACUACGCUACAAAACUGGUGCCGUGACCCGUCGUCUGGUCAGCUGAAGCAGACCACCGGUGCUGCUGAACGACGUCGUCUGGUUCCACCUGCGCCUUGGAGACGUUGGCAACAGUGAGGUCUAUCCAUGGAGGGUCAGAAUGUGAAUGAACUGUCAAUCCCUAGUCAUGGGGAAUUAUCCAUGGGUAGGGGCAGAGGGGUUUUGCGGCUAGCUGCUGCUAUGCAGUCUACUCCAGAAAAUCCAGGGGUUCUGGGCUCAAAACCUUUUGGGUCUGGGAGGGAAAAGGGGU